rnacentral:rRNA from 1 species
AUACGUAGGGGGCGAGCGUUGUCCGGAAUGAUUGGGCGUAAAGGGCGCGUAGGCGGCGCGGUAAGUCAGGAGUGAAAGUCCUGCUUUCAAGGUGGGAAUUGCUUUGGAUACUGCCGCGCUUGAGUGCAGGAGAGGUUAUCGGAAUUCCCGGUGUAGCGGUGAAAUGCGUAGAGAUUGGGAGGAACACCAGUGGCGAAGGCGACUUACUGGGCCGUAACUGACGCUGAGGCGCGAAAGCGUGGGGAGCGAACAGGAUUAGAUACCCUGGUAGUCCACGCUGUAAACGAUGAAUACUAGGUGUGGGGGGACUGACCCCCUCCGUGCCGCAGUCAACACAAUAAGCAUUCCGCCUGGGGAGUACGGCCGCAGGGUUGAAACUCAAAGGAAUUGACGGG